rnacentral:rRNA from 1 species
GACGAACGCUGGCGGCGUGCCUAAUACAUGCAAGUUGAGCGCUGAAGGUUGGUACUUGUACCAACUGGAUGAGCAGCGAACGGGUGAGUAACGCGUGGUGAAUCUGCCUUUGAGCGGGGGACAACAUUUGGAAACGAAUGCUAAUACCGCAUAAAAACUUUAAACACAAGUUUUAAGUUUGAAAGAUGCAAUUGCAUCACUCAAAGAUGAUCCCGCGUUGUAUUAGCUAGUUGGUGAGGUAAAGGCUCACCAAGGCGAUGAUACAUAGCCGACCUGAGAGGGUGAUCGGCCACAUUGGGACUGAGACACGGCCCAAACUCCUACGGGAGGCAGCAGUAGGGAAUCUUCGGCAAUGGACGAAAGUCUGACCGAGCAACGCCGCGUGAGUGAAGAAGGUUUUCGGAUCGUAAAACUCUGUUGGUAGAGAAGAACGUUGGUGAGAGUGGAAAGCUCAUCAAGUGACGGUAACUACCCAGAAAGGGACGGCUAACUACGU